AAAAUUAAAAAUCAUUUUUAGAAAGUAGAAAAUAAAAGAGAAAUAAUGCAAUUGGUCCCAUAAAUUUUGGACCAAUAAUGAGAGAGAUAUGAAUUUUAGAAAAUGAAAUGAAAUUAAAAAAUAAAAUGGAAAUUAAAAUCAGAAUUAAAAAAUAAGGAAAAACACGAGGCGUUGGAUCAGGCUCAUUAAUUGAGCUGGCACAUCAAACGUUCCUUAGCGCAUGUCCACCAAAGUCCAGGGUCAACUGAAU
rnacentral:lncRNA from 1 species